CACCUUAAUAAUUCGUCUUAUUUUAUUUCAGGUUUCACAAUGGGGAGAAGAAGCUGAGUGACCUAAUGCGAGAUUCCAUGAGUCGAGACCCGGUAACGCCCGUCCUGUGGGAAGCGCAUCUCGCGGCGUUAGAUCGGCGGGUCGAGAUCAUUCUCAACGCUAUCCGAACCUGUAUCAAUAAAGCUGACCAGACGGGCAACGCUCCCAACUCUAACCAUGUCGAUAGCAAACAAAUUUCCUAGCAUUUACUUAACAUAGAAAUGUGACCUUGGUGUGAUCUUUCUGUCCAAAAUUCAAGAUCGAGCAAACACAGAAGCAAUUCAUACGUUCUUGUUUUACUUCUCGAAACGUGGACUACAGUUCAUAGUAAAUAAGUAGUCAUAACCAAUUCUAAAGAUGUUUGUUUCUCCUCCCAUAUUGGGUUUGUUAAAUAUCUUUUUUUUUCUUUCGAACGUGUAAAGAUUUGUUUUUAUGACCGUGUACAAAUUUGUUUUCUUUUUUCUCUAAAUUUAUUGUACAGAAUGCAUUCGUUUUUAUACAUAAGUGUAAUGUAAGUCCUUUAAUUUGUCCGGCAAAAAUUUUGUAAUUUUUUUUUUAAUAGACUGCAUAACUCCUCCCUCCUCAUUUUUCCGUGCAGGUUUUUUGGCAUUUUUAAACCUCUUUAAAUGAUGAACUAUCGUAUACCGAUUGGGAUAUUUCGUUAUUUCUUAUCUUUAUCUUCCCUUUUUUCCAAUAUUUUGGUGCAAUAAAAGAGUCAUCUUGAAAAAUAAUCAAGAGCAAUAAGUUUUAGGCACCUAUAACUUCCGCCAGGCGAUGAGACGUGUGCAAAAACGUUGCCUCAGCGUUAUUUUGGAAGAUAACAUCAUGAUGACAUUGUGACGACGUUUUCGCAUGCGGUUUGCCAGGCGGGUUAAGAUUCAACUUGGUUUGCUUCCUUCUGAAAUCCCCCAACUUUUAUGUAAAGUAAAUGCAUAAUGAUAUUUUGAAUUGUUUGUAAAAUUUGGCUGUGUUUCAUCUGGUUAAGUUCCCUUCAAAUAUCGUAAGUGUAACAUAUUUCAUUGCACUGAGUACCUAGACGCGGAGGAUCUCCUCAGAACUCAAGUGCGCGCCCAUUUUCACAAACGUGAAAGAAAUAAUAAGAAAAUAAAAAUGGAAAAAAGAUCAAGUACUCAUAUAUUUUGAUGAUUCCUGAACAACUUGUGCUGCUUCAAUAAAGAUCUUUACUUUCUUUUCUA